AGAGUUUGAUCCUGGCUCAGGACGAACGCUGGCGGCGCGCCUAACACAUGCAAGUCGAACGAGAGAUGAGGAGCUUGCUCUUCAAAUCGAGUGGCGAACGGGUGAGUAACGCGUGAGGAACCUGCCUCAAAGAGGGGGACAACAGUUGGAAACGACUGCUAAUACCGCAUAAGCCCACGGGUCGGCAUCGACCAGAGGGAAAAGGAGCAAUCCGCUUUGAGAUGGCCUCGCGUCCGAUUAGCUAGUUGGUGAGGUAACGGCCCACCAAGGCGACGAUCGGUAGCCGGACUGAGAGGUUGAACGGCCACAUUGGGACUGAGACACGGCCCAGACUCCUACGGGAGGCAGCAGUGGGGAAUAUCGCACAAUGGGGGAAACCCUGAUGCAGCGACGCCGCGUGGAGGAAGAAGGUCUUCGGAUUGUAAACUCCUGUUGUUGAGGAAGAUAAUGACGGUACUCAACAAGGAAGUGACGGCUAACUACGUGCCAGCAGCCGCGGUAAAACGUAGGUCACAAGCGUUGUCCGGAAUUACUGGGUGUAAAGGGAGCGCAGGCGGGAAGACAAGUUGGAAGUGAAAUCUAUGGGCUCAACCCAUAAACUGCUUUCAAAACUGUUUUUCUUGAGUAGUGCAGAGGUAGGCGGAAUUCCCGGUGUAGCGGUGGAAUGCGUAGAUAUCGGGAGGAACACCAGUGGCGAAGGCGGCCUACUGGGCACCAACUGACGCUGAGGCUCGAAAGUGUGGGUAGCAAACAGGAUUAGAUACCCUGGUAGUCCACACCGUAAACGAUGAAUUACUAGGUGUUGGAGGAAUUGACCCCUUCAGUGCCGCAGUUAACACAAUAAGUAAUCCACCUGGGGAGUACGAACCGCAAGGGUUGAAACUCAAAGGAAAUUGACGGGGGCCCGCACAAGCAGUGGAGUAUGUGGUUUAAUUCGAACGCAACGCGAAGAACCUUACCAAGUCUUGACAUCCUGCGACGAUGCUGGAAACAGUAUUUUCCUUCGGGACGCAGAGACAGGUGGUGCAUGGUUGUCGUCAGCUCGUGUCGUGAGAUGUUGGGUUAAGUCCCGCAACGAGCGCAACCCUUACUGUCAGUUACUACGCAAGAGGACUCUGGCAGGACUGCCGUUGACAAAACGGAGGAAGGUGGGGAUGACGUCAAAUCAUCAUGCCCUUUAUGACUUGGGCUACACACGUACUACAAUGGCGUUAAACAAAGAGAAGCAAGACCGCGAGGUGGAGCAAAACUCAGAAACAACGUCCCAGUUCGGACUGCAGGCUGCAACUCGCCUGCACGAAGUCGGAAUUGCUAGUAAUCGUGGAUCAGCAUGCCACGGUGAAUACGUUCCCGGGCCUUGUACACACCGCCCGUCA
rnacentral:rRNA from 1 species